rnacentral:rRNA from 1 species
UACAGAGGGUGCAAGCGUUAAUCGGAAUUACUGGGCGUAAAGCGUGCGUAGUCGGUUAUCUAAGUCGGAUGUGAAAUCCCCGGGCUCAACCUGGGAAUUGCAUUCGAUACUGGAUAGCUAGAGUUCGGCAGAGGGAAGUGGAAUUUCGGGUGUAGCGGUGAAAUGCGUAGAUAUCCGAAGGAACAUCAGUGGCGAAGGCGGCUUCCUGGACCAAUACUGACGAUCAGGUGCGAAAGCGUGGGGAGCAAACAGG